rnacentral:rRNA from 1 species
UACGAAGGGGGGCUAGCGUUGCUCGGAAUCACUGGGCGUAAAGCGCACGUAGGCGGCUUCUUAAGUCAGGGGUGAAAUCCUGGAGCUCAACUCCAGAACUGCCUUUAUACUGAGGAGCUUGAGUCCGGGAAGAGGUGAGUGGAACUGCGAGUGUAGAGGUGAAAUUCGUAGAUAUCGUCAAGAACACCAGUGGCGAAGGCGGCUCACUGGCCCGGUACUGACGCUGAGGUGCGAAAGCGUGGGGAGCAACAGGGAUUAAGAAACCCCAGG